UACGUAGGGUGCGAGCGUUAAUCGGAAUUACUGGGCGUAAAGGGUGCGCAGGCGGCCCUGUAAGACCGGUGUGAAAUCCCCGGGCUCAACCUGGGAAUUGCGCUGGUGACUGCAGGGCUAGAGUACGGUAGAGGGGGGUGGAAUUCCUGGUGUAGCAGUGAAAUGCGUAGAGAUCAGGAGGAACACCGAUGGCGAAGGCAGCCCCCUGGGCCUGUACUGACGCUCAUGCACGAAAGCGUGGGGAG
rnacentral:rRNA from 1 species